AAUGUGUGGUACCUAUAAGCUUAUAAAUUUGCCACAAAAUUAUAAGCAAAGACAAAUUUGGUGAUGAUACCGUAAUUUUGUCGCUUUCAACAAAUUAUUUGUUGACCGUGUUCCACUCAGGUAAAGAUGGAAUGCUAUGAGAAUAUUUCAAGUGAGUUUUUCAACAAAACAUUGUGAUGACGUCAUCAACUUUUUAGGAAGAACACAUAUACCAGUUUGGAGAAGUACGGUGUAAUACUAAUAACAGUAGUGCUAUAUUCACAAAACUUCGCUAGAUAGGGCUUUUAGAUAACGCCAGUUCUUGUGAGAAAGACGAAAAUUUUCCAAACUGUAAUGACGGAAACUUUUAACAUUAUCUGCCCCUUGAAGUAGGAGUAUAGUGGGACGAAGCUUUAGGAAAAGAGAUAGGCCGUUGAUUUAGUUAAUAGUGUAAACAUCAUAAGCAACUUCAAAAAAUUGAUCUAAUGUUAUUUGGACAGAACUUUUUUCGCAGUGGAAUUAUAUUAUUAUUAGUUUUUUAAUAACCCCAAAGUAAAAAUAAAGAUAUGUGUGGAUUGUUAAAGCAGCUUGCUAUGCAUAUGCUCCAGGUGAGUUUUUCCAUUACAAAAUUUUGUGAUGAGGUCAUCAAUAUUUUAGCAAGAACACGUGUAUAUAUUUGAAUAGGUGCAUUGUAAUACUAAUAAUUGCAGUACUAUUUUCUCAAAACCUCGGGAUGAGCCAUUCUUGAUUUGAUGAAUAAAAAAAAACUGCGAUCUGGCUUUGAUCCUAGGACCUCUAAUAUUUGCUUAUACGAGGAGUCCCGAAAAAAUUAAUGACUGAGUCAAUUUAUUUUAUUGAUUACAUCAGGAAUUGCAAAACUAAAUACUUUGAAAUCUUACAGACGUUUCGAAGUUAGCAUGGUAAAAUUUUUAAUCAAAGUGGAUCUGUUUAUCGACCCCAAAAAAUUGAUGACGUCAUCUCAAAAUUUUGGCGAAUAAAUCCUUUCUAAGGUAUGCAAAAUAUGAUCAGUCUAUACUUGUAAUUUGUCACUGCAUUCAUAUUUUUUAGAUUUGCUUAUACAAGGUGAUUGAAAAAAUUAAUGAUUCAGUCAGGAUAUUUUACUGAAUAAAUUAAGAAUUGCAAAACUGAAUACUUUGAAACCUUGCAGACGUUUUAAAGUUAUUGUAAGUAAGGUAGAUUGUGAAUCAAAAUAUAUCUGUUUAUUCCCCCCCCCCCCCCAAAUUGACUACGUCAUCUCAAAGUUUUGCCGAAUAAAUUUUACCCAAAAUGUGCAAAAUAUGAUGACUUUUUACUUGUGAUUUAUCAUUACAUUCGGUUUUUUUUAGAUUUGCUUAUAUAGGUGGCUAAAAAAAAAUCAUGAGUGAGUCAAUUUAUUUUAUUGAUUAAAUCAGGAAGGGCUCAUUCCAUUUUCCCAGAAAAUUUUGGGAAUACAAUACUGUUUUAUUAGUAUUACACUGCACCAAUUCAAGUUGAUAUACGUGUCCUUGCAAAAAUGUUGAUGACAUUUUCAUCAUCACAAAAUUGUCUAAAGAAAAAACUCAACUCGAACAUGCUGUAUAUGUAAAAAUCUAGGUAUCUC